rnacentral:rRNA from 1 species
UUGCAAGGUCAAGUGAAGAAGGGCGCACGGUGAAUGCCUUGGCACUGGAAGCCGAUGAAGGACGCGACUAACCGCGAAAGUCUUCGGGGAGCCGUAAGUAGGCUUUGAUCCGGAGGUCUCCGAAUGGGGGAACCCAGCAUGUGCAGACAUGCUAUCCUUAAGUGAAUACAUAGCUUAAGGAAGGAAGACGCAGUGAACUGAAACAUCUAAGUAGCUGCAGGAAGAGAAAGAAAUAUCGAUUUCCCAAGUAGCGGCGAGCGAACAGGAAAGAGCCCAAACCGGCAGAUUUAUCUGCCGGGGUUGUAGGACUGAGUCAUGGCACUUCAGAGGAUAGCAGAAGCGUUUGGGAAGACGCGCCAGAGAGGGUGAGAGCCCCGUAAGCGAAAUCCAAAGAAGGCCUAUCAGUAUCCUGAGUAGGGCGGGACACGUGAAAUCCCGUUUGAAUCCGCGAGGACCAUCUCGCAAGGCUAAAUACUAACCAGUGACCGAUAGUGAACCAGUACCGUGAGGGAAAGGUGAAAAGAACCCCGGGAGGGGAGUGAAAGAGAACCUGAAACCGUGUGCCUACAAGUAGUCAAAGCCCGUUAACGGGUGAUGGCGUGCCUUUUGUAGAAUGAACCGGCGAGUUGCGUUAGUCAGCAAGGUUAAGUCAGAAAAGACGGAGCCGCAGCGAAAGCGAGUCUGAACAGGGCGAGCAGUUGGCUGACGCAGACCCGAAACCAAGUGACCUACCCAUGACCAGGUUGAAGGCGCGGUAAAACGCGCUGGAGGACCGAACCCACGUAAGUUGAAAAUUGCGGGGAUGAGUUGUGGGUAGCGGUGAAAUUCCAAACGAACUUGGAGAUAGCUGGUUCUCUCCGAAAUAGCUUUAGGGCUAGCCUCGCAAAGAGGAUGCUGGAGGUAGAGCUCUGUUUGGACUAGGGGCCCGUCAAGGGUUACUGAAUUCAGAUAAACUGCGAAUUCCAGACAUUUAUGUGCGGGAGUCAGACUGCGAGUGAUAAGAUCCGUAGUCGAAAGGGAAACAGCCCAGAUCACCAGUUAAGGUCCCAAAAUUCAUGCUAAGUGGAAAAGGAUGUGGAGUUGCGCAGACAACUAGGACGUUGGCUCAGAAGCAGCCAUCAUUCAAAGAGUGCGUAAUAGCUCACUAGUCGAGUGACGCCGCGCCGAAAAUUUACCGGGGCUAAGCAUGAUACCGAAACUGUGGAUGUGCGCAAGCACGUGGUAGGAGAGCGUUCUAGCGGCGGUGAAGCAUGACCGAGAGGACAUGUGGAGCUUCUAGAAGUGAGAAUGCCGGUAUGAGUAACGAAAGACAGGUGAGAAUCCUGUCCGCCGCAAGACUAAGGUUUCCUGGGGCAGGCUCGUCCGCCCAGGGUAAGUCGGGACCUAAGGCGAGGCCGAGAGGCGUAGUCGAUGGACAACAGGUUGAAAUUCCUGUACUGCACCGAAUCGUUAUGAGCGAUGGAGGGACGCAGGAGGCUAGCAGCGCGUGGUGCUGGAUACCACGUUCAAGCGUCAAGUCUGAGAGCGAGUCAAAUGCUUGCUUUCAUAAGGACAAGGCGUGAUGAGGAGCGAAAUUAAAGUAGCGAAGGCUGCGACGUCACACUGCCGAGAAAAGCUUCUAGCCAGAGACGGUGCACCCGUACCGCAAACCGACACAGGUAGUCGAGGAGAGUAUCCUCAGGUGAGCGAGAGAACUCUCGUUAAGGAACUCGGCAAAAUGGCCCCGUAACUUCGGGAGAAGGGGCGCUGGUCGCAAGAUCAGCCGCAGUGAAAAGGCCCAAGCAACUGUUUAUCAAAAACACAGGCAUCUGCAAAAUCGUAAGAUGAAGUAUAGGUGCUGACACCUGCCCGGUGCUGGAAGGUUAAGAGGAGAGCUUAGCGCAAGCGAAGGUUUGAAUUGAAGCCCCAGUAAACGGCGGCCGUAACUAUAACGGUCCUAAGGUAGCGAAAUUCCUUGUCGGGU